GACGAACGCUGGCGGCGUGCCUAAUACAUGCAAGUAGAACGCUGAAGGAGGAGCUUGCUCUUCUGGAUGAGUUGCGAACGGGUGAGUAACGCGUAGGUAACCUGCCUGGUAGCGGGGGAUAACUAUUGGAAACGAUAGCUAAUACCGCAUAACAGUAGAUGUUGCAUGACAUUUGCUUGAAAGGUGCAAUUGCAUCACUACCAGAUGGACCUGCGUUGUAUUAGCUAGUUGGUGGGGUAACGGCUCACCAAGGCGACGAUACAUAGCCGACCUGAGAGGGUGAUCGGCCACACUGGGACUGAGACACGGCCCAGACUCCUACGGGAGGCAGCAGUAGGGAAUCUUCGGCAAUGGACGGAAGUCUGACCGAGCAACGCCGCGUGAGUGAAGAAGGUUUUCGGAUCGUAAAGCUCUGUUGUAAGAGAAGAACGAGUGUGAGAGUGGAAAGUUCACACUGUGACGGUAUCUUACCAGAAAGGGACGGCUAACUACGUG
rnacentral:rRNA from 1 species